rnacentral:rRNA from 1 species
CGGAGAGGGAGCCUGAGAAACGGCUACCACAUCCAAGGAAGGCAGCAGGCGCGCAAAUUACCCAAUCCCAAUACGGGGAGGUAGUGACAAUAAAUAACAAUAUGGGGCUCUUGCGGGUCUCGUAAUUGGAAUGAGUACAAUUUAAAUCUCUUAACGAGGAACAAUUGGAGGGCAAGUCUGGUGCCAGCAGCCGCGGUAAUUCCAGCUCCAAUAGCGUAUAUUAAAGUUGUUGCAGUUAAAAAGCUCGUAGUUGAAUUUCGGAGUUUGUCGGUUGGUCGGGCUUCACUGUCCGCACUGGCCUGAUGGAUUCCUACCUUCUGAAUAACCAGCAUGCUAUUAAGUUAGUGCGUUGGGGAAGCAGAGCUAUUACCUUGAAAAAAUUAGAGUGCUUAAAGCAGGCUUA